AAAGACUUAAGUUAAUAUUAAACUAAAAGCCUUCAAAGCUUGAAUUGGACACAAACCAGUCUUUA
rnacentral:tRNA from 1 species